AAAUAUCUAAAGAGAGAGAGAGAGGAAACCGUGAAAGGGAGAGAGGGAAGAGUGUCAAUUUUCUCAACAUCCAUGGAGGCUUUGAAGAUGAAGGAAGAGAAUUGAAGGAAUGAAAGAAGAUCACCCAUGGGACUUGGAGGAAUUGAAGAGAGCUAAGAGGUAGACAAAGAUUGAGUUAGGUCGAGACGAGGAUAUCGUCCUAUUACCACCGGGAACCAAUCACUGUGAGUAGUAGUUCUGCAAUCGUACGUUUACUUACCGUAAAUAAUUCUUAUUGUUAACGCACUGUUCUUUGUAAGCAUUUAUGUUGUUUAGGGAUCGGUGAGAACAUUGAAAGAUUAUGUGCACUUCGGUAUGACGCUGAAACUACUCAACAUUCUGGUUAUGGUUAAUGGUUAUCCUUAAGGCACUCCACCUGGAGGUUAGUUUUAACCCAUGGCAUCCGUGCCUCUUUUGUCAACCUCAGAGUAUCCAGGCACUUAAGUGAAGGCAGCCUUUUUGCUAAACUUUUGAUUUUACACUCUGAUUGUUUGCUUAAGGUUGAUGUAUAUAUAAUUCCUUUGCCUGUCCAUGUUGUUUUACGCCCAAUUCUAAGGGCUGGGUCUGUAUAUAUAUAUGUACAUAACUAACUCUCUGGUGCACGUCACUGUAUGUUUAUUUGCCUUAUGUUCUGUCUG